rnacentral:rRNA from 1 species
UACGAAGGGGGCUAGCGUUGCUCGGAAUCACUGGGCGUAAAGCGCACGUAGGCGGGUCUUUAAGUCGGAGGUGAAAUCCUGGAGCUCAACUCCAGAACUGCCUUCGAUACUGAGGAUCUCGAGUCCCGGGAGAGGUGAGUGGAACUGCGAGUGUAGAGGUGAAAUUCGUAGAUAUUCGCAAGAACACCAGUGGCGAAGGCGGCUCACUGGCCCCGGUACUGACGCUGAGGUGCGAAAGCUAGGGGAGCAAACAGG